GUAGAGUGGCGCACGGGUGAGUAACGCGUAAAUAUCUACCCUGAUGUCGGAAUAAUUAGCCGAAAGGCUGACUAAUACGGGAUACAUGCUUUCUGUUGGGUGAAGCAGGAAAGGUGGCCUCUAUAUAUAAGCUAUCGCAUUGGGAUGAGUUGCGUACCAUUAGCUAGUUGGUGGGGUAAGAGCCCACCAAGGCGGCGAUGGUUAGCGGGUUGAGAGGAUGAUCCGCCACCCUGGCACUGGAACACGGGCCAGACUCCUACGGGAGGCAGAGUGAGGAAUAUUGCGCAAUGGGGGCAACCYUGACGCAGCGACGCCGCGUGAGUGAGGAGGCCUUCGGGUYGUAAAGCUCUGUCAGCAGGGAAGAAGUGCAAGAUGGAUAAUAUCCAUGUGUUUGACGGUACCUGCAAAGGAAGCACCGGCUAACUCCGUGCCAGCAGCCGCGGUAAU
rnacentral:rRNA from 1 species